rnacentral:rRNA from 1 species
AACGAACGCUGGCGGCGUGCUUAACACAUGCAAGUCGAACGUGAAAGCCUUCGGGCAAGUAAAGUGGCGUACGGGUGAGUAACGCGUGGAUAAUCUACCUUAAAGCUUGGAAUAACCUUCCGAAAGGAGGGCUAAUACCGAAUAGAGCGAAGAAGUCAUAAAGACUUUUUCGGGAAAGGGAGCUGGCAACAGCCCUCACUUUAGGAUGAGUCCGCGUCCCAUUAGCUUGUUGGUGGGGUAAAAGCCUACCAAGGCAGUGAUGGGUAGCUGGUCUGAGAGGAUGAUCAGCAACACUGGGACUGAGACACGGCCCAG